UUAAAAAUGUAAACUUCACAGCUAAUCUGAGAAGCUUUAAUUUGAUAACGUUUCUGAGUCUUUAUGAGGUGUCAAGGUUCUACCCAAGUCUGGAAGAAAAUAUGUACAACACACACAUAUGUUGACAUACGUGGACAAAAUGAGGAUUACAAUGGAUCUCAAGGCAGCAUCCUGACUGGUGAUGUUUUCAUGGGAUGCUGUCCAGCUGUCUGUCUGAUAGAGGUGAGCUCAGGAAUCGGACCCACUUGCACUGCAAUCCUGAUGCGUCAGCUUAAGCUUUGUGACCUGAGCAGGUUGGACGCCGUCCCCGGUGUUUGAUUUACGAAUCUGUAACACCUGGAAGAAGAUGCCGCCCGUCGGGAGAUGAUUCUCCACGGGUCUCUGUUUACAGGAAAUAGAAGAGUAGACUAUGAAUAGAUUAUGAAAAGAAAAACGGGAGAUCAUUCUCGCUGAGAGGUACAAGCUGGCUCGUAGGGCUCACAACACAGGACUCACCGCGCUGCGCUCUCGGUGGGAGAUUCUGCCGAAAGCCUCACAAAUACUGUGGGGGUCUCUUCUGCUUCUGGUUCCUAUCUGAAGCUCGGACAGACUCCUCCUAACUUCUAUGACCUCAUCCUUGCCUGCUGGACCUCUGCCAGUAUUGGGUAUUGAUCAUAUGUGACAAUACGACCCCUAUAAGAGUUUACAAUGUUUAAAAAUUCUUACCAGAGCUUCUUGUAAAAAUUUCACAGGGAA